rnacentral:rRNA from 1 species
UUUAUGGAGAGUUUGAUCCUGGCUCAGGAUUAACGCUGGCGGCGUGCCUAACACAUGCAAGUCGAACGAGGUAGCAAUACCUAGUGGCAGACGGGUGAGUAACGCGUGGUCAACCUACCGUUGAGUGGGGGAUAACUAGCCGAAAGGUUAGCUAAUACCGCAUACGUCUCCGAGAGGCAUCUCUUGGCGAUAAAAGGAGCAAUCCGCUCGAUGACGGGACCGCGUCCCAUUAGCUAGAUGGUGGGGUAACGGCCUACCAUGGCUCCGAUGGGUAGCUGGUUUGAGAGAGCGACCAGCCACACUGGGACUGAGAAACGGCCCAGACUCCUACGGGAGGCAGCAGUGAGGAAUUUUCCGCAAUGGGCGAAAGCCUGACGGAGCGACGCCGCGUGUGGGAAGAAGGCCUUCGGG